AAUUCUAUCACCAAAUCCAUUCUACUGGCCUCUUGAUGUUCUUAUGCUUAAAGUUAGUGGAACUAGAGAUUACAAUCAAAUGUCUCUGCCGAAACUUGUUGCAAUGCCUAUGAGUUAUUCUGUUCAAGCUAACCAAUUCUCAUCUCGGGGAAAUGUAGGACGGGUAGAUAAGAUAAUGGUUUUAUACCAUAGUGAGAUUGAUGUUGUGGCUAAAGUAUAUCUAUUAUGCUCUCACUUGCAAAUUUUGUCCGUUUUUUGGCCAUAGAGGCUGCACCAACCACGAA